GACGAGGCGGAAGUGACUCCUACGGACCGCGCAGCCCGACUGAGUUGUGGGAGGAAGCGAAUGGAAGCGGGCGGAAGCCUCGGCCAAUGGCAAAGUGCGGACACAGAGGGGUUCCGGUGUGAGCACUUCCGCGGGGAGUUGAAAAGAGCUGGGCGGGAGAUCGUGUUCUCCGAGCGUUUUCUAUUGCGGAGGACACUGGCAAAUGUAAAGCAAGAAGUGUCUUGAGAAGUGAUUACAACAGGGGGUUGCUUUCUCUUGCUGCUGUGACCUCUUCCACUACCACGAGGAUAACUCCUACUAACCUAAUGGAUGAUGACAGACACAUAGUCAUCACCCCAUCUGACAUCUGACCAACUGCCAGACAUGUAUGAGUGUGGCCCCUUAGACCAGCUAGCCUGCCAGCAACUACCAGACAUAUGAACAAGAGCAUUCUAGACCAUCCAGGCCCAGCUAAGCUGGCCCAGACCAGAAGACUUCCCCAGCAAACCCACAGACUGAUGAAAAAGAAUAAAUGCUUAUUGUUUAAGAGUGAAACCAGUAAGUUUUGAGGUAGUUUGUUCUGCAAUAAAAACUGAAACACAAAGCA